rnacentral:snRNA from 1 species
ACUGCUGUGCAAGAAAACUAAGU